GCGGAGGAAAAGAAAAUAACAAUGAUUCCCCUAGUAACGGCGAGUGAACAGGGAAAAGCUCACAGUUGGAACCUAGCUGCCUUAGGUAGUUCGGAUUGUAAACUGAAAAAGUGUUAUCCAGGCUAGCCGAGUAAAUAAGUUUCUUGGAAUAGAACAUCAUGGAGGGUGAGAAUCCCGUCUUUGGCUUGAGCAUAGUCUUUUGUGUUGCACUUUAACGAGUCAGGUUGUUUGGGAAUGCAGCCUAAAGUGGGAGGUAAAUCCCUCCUAAAGCUAAAUAUUGGCGAGAGACCGAUAGCAAACAAGUACCGUGAGGGAAAGAUGAAAAGAACUUUGAAAAGAGAGUUAAACAGUAUGUGAAAUUGCUAAAAGGGAAGCGUUUGAAGACAGACUAGCUUGGUUAUAAUCAGCCUGGAUUUUUCUUGGUGUACUUGUAGCCUAUGCUUGUCAACAGCAGUUUGGUUUGGCUGAAAAAACUGAUAGUAAGGUGGCUCUCUUCGGGGAGUGUUAUAGACUGUUAGAAAAUCAGUUGGACUGGACUGAGGAAUGCAAUGCAGCUUGCCUUGGGGUGAUCCAGAUCGGAUAGGAACCAUUGUUCUUUGAAGGUUUGGGUAGCUCUUCGAACU
rnacentral:rRNA from 1 species